CAGUCGCCACGGUAAGACAGAGGAUGCAAGCGUUAUCCGGAACGAUUGGGCGUAAAGCGUCUGUAGGUGGCUUUUCAAGUCCGCCGUCAAAUCCCAGGGCUCAACCCUGGACAGGCGGUGGAAACUACCAAGCUGGAGUACGGUAGGGGCAGAGGGAAUUUCCAGUGGAGCGGUGAAAUGCGUUGAGAUCGAAAAGAACACCAACAGCGAAAGCACUCUGCUGGGACGACACUGACACUAAGAGACGAAAGCUAGGGGAGCAAAUGGGAUUAGAUACCCCCGUAGUCCCUGUCUCUUAUAC
rnacentral:rRNA from 1 species